rnacentral:lncRNA from 1 species
GCAUGAAUCCUCUCCUCAAUCCUCAUGCAGUAGAAGGACAAAAACACCCCUACAUAAGAUAAUGCUACCUGGGCCAGGGAAGAACAGGGUAUUGAUGAAAUGGGACCCAACCAAAACCCAUGAGCAACUGAUUGGGACAUAAAGUAUGAGAGGAAAAAACAAGCCAGGAAAAACAAAGAAAGAAUGCAACCUAAUUGAAAUGUCAUAACGUGAGUGGGUUGUUGGAUUACAAUUGGAUGAGUCAUGAAUGAAAAUGUCGAUAAGCCAGCCACCUAUAUUUCCUCGAAACCCCCCCUCCUUUAUUCAAUCUCACACAAUAAUGGUGCACUACGGACAAAAAAUAUUAACAAUUAAAAACAUUUUAUCUUGUAUGCUAAUAGAUUCACGACAAAAUUGGACCAAAAUAUUUUGAGAGUUACUUAGUUAAUUUGCAAUAAUGAUAGGUAAACACUUCACUUUUUAACAAAAUAAAUUGUUAUAAGAACUAGAUUGAUGCCGCACAGGUCGUUUGAGCUGAAAUAUAUUUGUUAAUAGCUGCAAUAUAUUUGCCAAUAAGAUACUUGAAAAGAAAUUUGAUAAUAAUAUAUCGUCAAUUGAUAAUAAUAUAUCAUUAAUUAAAUGCAACACCAAGAAUUAUUGAAGUUUGAUAAUCAUCUACAUGAUGCCGUUAAAAAAAAAAAAGAUAACCACCUGCAUGAUAGUUUUUUACAUUACGCAUUACGACAUAAUACUAAAAGCCCCGGAUACAAAACAACACCAAUGUAAAUACACCAAACAACCAAAACCUUACUCUUCACUCCACAAAUCAAAAACAACUUUGGUACAAUAGAAAACAAAUCAACUCUACAAAUUAAGGAUGCAUUUGUCGCAAUAGAAAAAUUGAAAAGAGAGUUAUGAUAACAUAAUAUAAAAUCAUGAUAAACCACCUAAAUGAUUGUUUUUAAAAGCAUAUUUGAUUGCAAUAGAUUUUUAAUUUUAAUUUGAUGUUAUUGAAUGACAUAUGGCAGUAUGACAAAACAAUGGUUCAUGCUGCAGCCGAUGUUCUGUUCAUUUUUUGGUUUGGAAAUUGAACAAAAAUCAAUUUUAUGUGAUAGACAAUUCUAUCAAAAAAAAUGUGAUAGAUAUUUAAACCAUUGAGCCCUGGGUUGGAUUACAAUUUUCAAAAUUGGAGUCACACAAUCAUGGAUAAUUUGAAAUUCAAAAUGCAAAGAAUUUAAAAUGUUAAUGUAUCACGGUUAACAACAUACUUUAGUUAAUGCCACCGAAUUAAUAAGGUUUGAUUCCAAAAAAAAAAAAUCGAAAUUCAAAUUGGCAAGAAUUUGGGAGGGAAACAUAUUAGGGUUAACAUGCUUAGGAGUUAAUGCAACACAAUUAGAGGAAAAUUAUUAGGUUUAGGUGUUGCUUAACCUAAUAACUUUUAAGAAUAAGGGAUAAUGACAUGUGAACAUAUCCAAUUCUCAUUAUAUCAUUAACAAAUCAUAUCUAUUAUACAAUUUACUCAUUUUCUUUUUCUAAGGAUAAUUCACUCUUUUUAUUUCUCUCUAAAAGUGUCAAUCAAGUUUUGAGUGUCUAUCACAUAUUUUCCUUUAAUAAAGAUCAACCAGCACACAAUCAAAGUCACAACUAACAAGGAUUCAAUUUCUACCAUUGAAGUGAAUUUAGAACUUUUCAUAUAAAAAGUUUCUUAAAAUCACUCUAGCUUUUCCGUAUUAAAGUCACUAAAUAUCGAUCUUAUAUAUAAAACUAAAAUAGAUUGAUGGGGUGUGCCUAUUUAACCCAUUAAGAUUAAGAUGUAGGUUUUCACUUUAUUUAUACAAGUGUUUUUUAGGUGAUUAUACAACUGUUAUUUAUGUAAAGUGACUAAGAAUUAAUUUAAUUUAUAUCAACAAAUCUCAUUUGUAAAGCCGCCAGCAUUAUUGAGCUAUUGAAUAAAAAAGCCACUUAAAUAGUUCUGAUUUCUCCUAUAAAUACCUCAUUACUCUUAUCAACUCAUAUCAUAUCACAAGUUUCUUGCAACUUUAUAAGCGAAAAAAGAAAAGACUCAAAGAAUAUAAGACAAAAGCAAAGAUGAGUUAUUUGAACCGUGUUUGGAUGGCAGCAACAGUGGCGGUGGCACAAGGCCACACUGAUCCAAUCUAUAAGUGCAAAACAGCUCUUGGAACUAUUCACCAAAACCGAACUCGUCUCUUCUCUGCGGGCGGUGCUUUGUCGGCACUCUUGCCACUGUCCAGCGUCGUUGUAUCGGACGCAACCGUGAGUUCUAAGGUUGAAGAGAAGCUGAGACAAACCGAUGAUUCUCUCCAGAAAGUUAUGUACAUGAAUUGUUGGGGUCAAGGCUAAAGAAUAAUACCUAGACACUGAUAGCUUUGAUUAGAAGUGUUGGUCCUGCUUGUUGGAAACUAUUGGUGACAACGAGGCAAAAUUGAUUCAUCGGUGCAGAAUCAACCCUAUGUUUGAGUGAGGAUUGGAAAAGAGCAACAAUGGAAUUCUCGUGCUUAAAUUGAUAAGUCUAUCAGAACAAGAUCUUCUUCAUUCAACUAUGCAUGCAUGAGACUAAAGGGAAAUUUGUUCCAAUUGCAAAUUUUUCUUUUAGCAACCUGAAAACGAGUGUGCAAAGCCCGAGGUAACACAGAGAACUGCGGAUUUAGUGUCUGUAUUACCAAAACCGCGGAUAUUUAGGUUUGCUUCAAUCAAGAGUAAUGUUAUGAUCCAAUUAUCCAUAAUAAUAGCCCAAGGAAUAAUACAUUAAUGGCAAAAUUGGAUUUUGUUGAGCUGUUGAGGAAAAUAGAUAUUAAGGGAGCACAGAGAAGCAAGAGAGAAAUUUUCGAACUGAAAAUAAAUUUGUCGAUUAUGCAUAAUUAGGGCAAUGAUUCCCAAUAUUGGAGUGCAAAAAUGUAUAAUUGGAGCAAUGACCAUCGAUGAUUGGUGUGCAAAAUAUUUAUAAAUUUUUUUACUUUUAUUGGUAAUCUCUAGAUAAUCUCCAGCUAGCAGAGUAAUAGCCUCAAAAUCCUUGUACUUAAUUAGGGUUUCCUUUAAUUUCCUUGGUACUAUUUUUUGUUUUCCAUGAGUUGAUACUAUGUACUAUAAGUUUAAGUUGUACUAUUUCAAUUUUAGAGAGGUGCUAAAAACACUAUUCUCAACCCUUACUCUACCACUCUGGUUGAAAUUUCGAAAAGAGCUCCUAAUACGCCUCUUAAUACCUAAAUCAAUAUACGUACAGAUUUCAUAGAUCAUUUCAUGUGGUAACUAUUUAAUUAUACCUUGGAUAAUUCCUAAUAGCAUCUUAUGUUUAUUGGAUUAUCGUGACUUUGAUUAUAUAUUAAUUAAUUAAUUAAUAUAUAAAAGUGUUAGAC